AUUGAACGCUGGCGGCAGGCCUAACACAUGCAAGUCGAGCGGAUGACGGGAGCUUGCUCCUUGAUUCAGCGGCGGACGGGUGAGUAAUGCCUAGGAAUCUGCCUGGUAGUGGGGGACAACGUUCCGAAAGGAACGCUAAUACCGCAUACGUCCUACGGGAGAAAGCAGGGGACCUUCGGGCCUUGCGCUAUCCGAUGCGCCUAGGUCGGAUUAGCUAGUAGGUGAGGUAAUGGCUCACCUAGGCUACGAUCCGUAACGGGUCUGAGAGGAUGAUCAGUCACACUGGAACUGAGAGACGGUCCAGACUCCUACGGGAGGCAGCAGUGGGGAAUAGUGGACAAUGGGCGAAAGCCUGAUCCAGCCACGCCGCGUGUGUGAAGAAGGUCUUCGGAUUGUAAAGCACUUUAAGUUGGGAGGAAGGGCAGUAAGCUAAUACCUUGCUGUUUUGACGUUACCGACAGAAUAAGCACCGGCUAACUCUGUGCCAGCAGCCGCCGUAACAC
rnacentral:rRNA from 1 species